GUGAGAUAUAGCAUAAAUUAAUGCAUUUCGUUUACACUGAAAUUAUGCCUACACACAGGCUGUCUUAA
rnacentral:tRNA from 1 species